rnacentral:misc_RNA from 1 species
GCCAACUCAGAUUUAUGGAGAGCGCCUUCAAUGUCAGACUCGACAGAGGCAAAGAGAUGAGCGAAGGCGUCAUCGCCAUAGGCAUUAAGAUCCCGCUGCUUGUCGAUGUCGUACUUGUCAUAUUUCUUGCAAAUUUCAUCGACUCUGAACAAAAUGUCUAUGACGCUCAUCUUUGUUGCUGCUUGAUGAUGAUGGAAAGAAAGCCAAGGAAAAGAAAGGAAAGUGAGGGAAAAUGAGAGAAAGAGAGGGUGAAGAUUCUUCUCUCUCUAUUUUUGGCAUAGUUUUGCGGCCUUUAACGUUAAGUCUCUGGCCACUGGCAUCGUCUAAUGAAGCGUAGAACGUAAAAUGCGCUUUUCAGUUUUCAGGGAAAGAAGAGAGGAGACAUUUUCAUGGCCACGAUAAGCUACAUGAAGGAUUCAGAGAAAGA